UCCGGACACACUGAGGAUUGACAGACAUUUAUAUGCGCAAGUAUAUAUUUAAAGAUGCUAGUUCUUUCAUGAUUAUGUGAUAGGUGGUGCAUGGCCGUUCUUAGUUCGUGGAGUGAUCUGUCUGCUUAAUUGCGUUUCAUAUUAUUAUAUAAUAUACACACAUUACGUGUGUUAUAUUAUUACUUUGAAAGCAACGAACGUGACCGUAGCCUUUUAUUAUAUACGCUACACGUAUAUUAAUUAAAGGGACCGCUGUAUCUUUCUUUAAACCAGAGUAAGGUUACGGCAAUAACAGGUCUGUGAUGCCCUUCGAUGUUCCGGGCUGCACACGUGCUACAAUGAUUAUUUCAUUAAGUAUCUACUGUGCAAUAAUAUAUUAUUAUUAUUCAAAACCUACUCUGAGAAUGAGCGGGUAAUCAAUUAGAAGUAAUGAUUUCCAAAUUUAUACACUCAUGUACCGUAUAUAUUAUCCCAUAUUUUAAUUAAUAUGCGUGUAUAAUAUUGUACGCUGUACGUAUAUUUAUUAAUUCAUGGUGGGGAUAGACUAUUGUUAAUUGUUGGUCUCGGUCUUAACUAGGAAUGCCUUGUACGGGUCAUUGGUUCAACAGACCACCCGGAAUACGUCCCUGCCCUUUGUACACACCGCCCGUCGCUCUUACCGAUGAACUUCGCUAUGAAUCUAUUGGACUGUACCAUUGUGGUAUGGAAAGAUAUAUGAAUAGUGUGGUUUAAAGGAA
rnacentral:rRNA from 1 species